rnacentral:rRNA from 1 species
UACAGAGGUCUCAAGCGUUGUUCGGAUUCAUUGGGCGUAAAGGUGCGUAGGUGGCGCGGUAAGUCGGGUGUGAAAUUUCGGAGCUUAACUCCGAAACUGCAUUCGAUACUGCCGUGCUUGAGGACUGGAGAGGAGACUGGAAUUUACGGUGUAGCAGUGAAAUGCGUAGAGAUCGUAAGGAAGACCAGUGGCGAAGGCGGGUCUCUGGACAGUUCCUGACACUGAGGCACGAAGGCCAGGGGAGCAAACGGG